UUUCAGCCAGAGCGCCCAAAGAACUCGUGU
rnacentral:piRNA from 1 species